rnacentral:rRNA from 1 species
GACGAACGCUGGCGGCGUGCCUAAUACAUGCAAGUCGAGCGAAGUUUUUCUGGUGCUUGCCCUAGAAAAACUUAGCGGCGAACGGGUGAGUAACACGUAAAGAACCUGCCUCAUAGACUGGGACAACUAUUGGAAACGAUAGCUAAUACCGGAUAACAGUACUUCUCGCAUGAGAGAUAUUUAAAAGUUGGUUAUGCUAACACUAUGAGAUGGCUUUGCGGUGCAUUAGCUAGUUGGUGGGGUAAAGGCCCACCAAGGCGACGAUGCAUAGCCGACCUGAGAGGGUGAUCGGCCACACUGGGACUGAGACACGGCCCAGACUCCUACGGGAGGCAGCAGUAGGGAAUCUUCCGCAAUGGGCGAAAGCCUGACGGAGCAACGCCGCGUGAGUGAAGAAGGAUUUCGGUUCGUAAAGCUCUGUUGUUAGGGAAGAAUGGAUAUGUAGUAACUAUACAUGUAAGAGACGGUACCUAACCAGAAAGCCACGGCUAACUACGUG